UUGAAGCCAAUUAAGCCGACUGUGCUCUUUUCCCCAUGGGGGCCCAGUGUGCAAUGGCUGCAAACAGCAGCCUCCUUGGUAGUGUAUGCAACCUGUUGCCUGUACAGGUAGCCCUAAGGGACCUUGGAGACAACU
rnacentral:snoRNA from 1 species